rnacentral:lncRNA from 1 species
GUUUACAUCCCUGUUAGUAAGCAUUUAUCCUUUGCCAAGAAAAUACAUCCACCUGACAGGUGUGGCAUAUCAAUAAGCUGAUUAAACAGCAGGAUCAUUACACAGGUGCACCUCGUGCUGGGGACAAUAAAAUGCCACUCUAAAAUGUGCAGUUUAAGCUGCAUCCAAUGUCGUUUUAAAGAAUUUGGCAGUACAUCCAACCGGCCUCACAACCGCAGACCACAUGUAACCACGCCAGCCCAGGACCUCCACAUCCGGCUUCUUCACCUGCGGUAUCGUCUGAGACCAGCCACGCGGACAGCUGAUGAAACUGUGGGUUUGCAAAACCAAAGAAUUUCUGCACAAACUGUCAGAAACUGUCUCAGGGAAGCUCAUCUGUGUUCUCGUCGUCCUGACCAGGGUCUUGAUCUGACUGCAGUUCGGCAUCGUAUCCAACUUCAGUGGCAAAUGCUCACCUUCAUGUGGACGAGUGGUCUGCUGAUGUCAAUCUUGUGAACAGAGUGCUACAUGGUGGCCGUUGGAGUUAUGCUAAAUUGAAGACGACGGUUCCUAGUCAGAAAGGCACUACAGCACCGCCAGCUGGAUGGGGGUUUACUACUGUGCAAGGCAGCCUACAGACCAUUAGUAAAGGAGAGAGCUGUUUGAAAAUGUUACCCUGUCAAGACGAACAGCGACACGGCAUGUUGAGGACAUCGCAGAGAAUGUGGAACAACAGUUGAAAGACAAGUUUCCCAGUCUGACCGUUCUGCCUACCCUGACCCUGAGCCUGCCUGUCAUCCUGCACCUUGGCCCCACUACUCUGGAUCACCGAGUUCUGCCUGACCUGACCCUAAGCCCACCUGCUGUUACGGUGCCUUACACCCUCUCUGGAUUAUUGACCACUGUCUGCCUUAACCUGUCGUUUGCCUGCCCC